rnacentral:rRNA from 1 species
AUUGAACGCUGGCGGCAGGCCUAACACAUGCAAGUCGAGCGGAUGACGGGAGCUUGCUCCUGGAUUCAACGGCGGACGGGUGAGUAAUGCCUAGGAAUCUGCCUGGUAGUGGGGGAUAACGUCCGGAAACGGGCGCUAAUACCGCAUACGUCCUGAGGGAGAAAGUGGUGGCUCUUCGGACCUCACGCUAUCAGAUGAGCCUAGGUCGGAUUAGCUAGUUGGUGGUGUAAAGGCCUACCAAGGCGACGAUCCGUAACUGGUCUGAGAGGAUGAUCAGUCACAUUGGAACUGAGACAAGGUGCAGACAAUUUCGGGGAGCAACAGUGGGGAAUAUUAGAAAAUGGAGGAACGCCUGAUCUAGCCAUGUCGCGUGAGGGAAGAAGGUGUUCGGAAUGUAGAACACUUUAAGUUGGAGGGUUGGGCAGUAAGUUAAUAAAUUACUGUUUUGACGUUACCAACAGAAGAAGCACCGGCUAACUUCGUG